rnacentral:rRNA from 1 species
GCGUAAAGAGCUUGUAGGCGGUUUGUCGCGUCUGCUGUGAAAAUCCGGGGCUCAACCCCGGACUUGCAGUGGGUACGGGCAGACUAGAGUAUGGUAGGGGAGACUGGAAUUCCUGGUGUAGCGGUGAAAUGCGCAGAUAUCAGGAGGAACACCGAUGGCGAAGGCAGGUCUCUGGGCCAUUACUGACGCUGAGAAGCGAAAGCAUGGGGAGCGAACAGGAUUAGAUACCCUGGUAGUCCAUGCCGUAAACGUUGGGCGCUAGGUGUGGGACUCAUUCCACGAGUUCCGUGCCGCAGCUAACGCAUUAAGCGCCCCGCCUGGGGAGUACGGCCGCAAGGCUAAAACUCAAAGGAAUUGACGGGGGCCCGCACAAGCGGCGGAGCAUGCGGAUUAAUUCGAUGCAACGCGAAGAACCUCACCAAGGCUUGACAUAUACCGGAAACACCUAGAGAUAGGUGCCCCUUUUGGUCGGUAUACAGGUGGUGCAUGGUUGUCGUCAGCUCGUGUCGUGAGAUGUUGGGUUAAGUCCCGCAACGAGCGCAACCCUCGUUCUAUGUUGCCAGCACGUAAUGGUGGGGACUCAUAGAAGACUGCCGGGGUCAACUCGGAGGAAGGUGGGGAUGACGUCAAAUCAUCAUGCCCCUUAUGUCUUGGGCUUCACGCAUGCUACAAUGGCCGGUACAAAGGGCUGCGAUACCGCAAGGUGGAGCGAAUCCCAAAAAACCGGUCUCAGUUCGGAUUGGGGUCUGCAACUCGACCCCAUGAAGUCGGAGUCG